CACGUAAGUAUCUACCCUUAGGAAAGGAUAACAACUGGAAACGGUUCCUAAUACUUUAUAAGCUGAGAAGUGAAACAGAGAAAUCUGCCUAGGGAUGAUCUUGCGCCUGAUUAGCUUGUUGGUAAGGUAAUGGCUUACCAAGGCGUUAGUAUCAGUAGUUGGUUUGAGAGGAUGACCAGCCACAUUGGGACUGAGACACGGCCCAGACUCCUACGGAAGGCAGCAGUGAGGAAUUUUCCGCAAUGGGCGAAAGCCUGACGGAGCAAUACCGCGUGAAGGAGGAAGGCCUGCGGGUUGUAA
rnacentral:rRNA from 1 species